AUACGAAGGGGGCAAGCGUUGUUCGGAAUAACUGGGCGUAAAGCGCACGUAGGCGGAAUGUUAAGUUAGAGGUGAAAUCCCAGGGCUCAACCCUGGAACGGCCUUUAAUACUGGCAAUCUAGAGACCGAGAGAGGUGAGUGGAAUUCCGAGUGUAGAGGUGAAAUUCGUAGAUAUUCGGAGGAACACCAGUGGCGAAGGCGGCUCACUGGCUCGGUACUGACGCUGAGGUGCGAAAGCGUGGGGAGCAAACAGAAUUAGAAACCCCAGUAGUCC
rnacentral:rRNA from 1 species